GAUGAACGCUGGCGGCGUGCCUAAUACAUGCAAGUCGAGCGAACAGACGAGGAGCUUGCUCCUCUGACGUUAGCGGCGGACGGGUGAGUAACACGUGGAUAACCUACCUAUAAGACUGGGAUAACUUCGGGAAACCGGAGCUAAUACCGGAUAAUAUAUUGAACCGCAUGGUUCAAUAGUGAAAGACGGUUUUGCUGCCACUUAUAGAUGGAUCCGCGCCGCACUAGCUAGUUGGUAAGGUAACGGCUUACCAAGGCAACGAUGCGUAGCCGACCUGAGAGGGUGAUCGGCCACACUGGAACUGAGACACGGUCCAGACUCCUACGGGAGGCAGCAGUAGGGAAUCUUCCGCAAUGGGCGAAAGCCUGACGGAGCAACGCCGCGUGAGUGAUGAAGGUCUUCGGAUCGUAAAACUCUGUUAUUAGGGAAGAACAAAUGUGUAAGUAACUAUGCACGUCUUGACGGUACCUAAUCAGAAAGCCACGGCUAACUACGUG
rnacentral:rRNA from 1 species